CCCCCCCAGGACCAUGGCAGCACUCACCGUCCGGGAAGACUGCCCUCAUCUUCAGGUAGCUGGUGGGCAUGUUGAUGAUGUUGGAAAUAGUUUCUGGCCUAUCUGGUAUGAAUGACUUGAAACUACAAAUCCCAGCAGCACAGUUGAUAAGCAG